rnacentral:rRNA from 1 species
GUCUAUGGCCAUGCCACCGUGAACUUGCCUGAUCUCGUCUGAUCUCAGAAGGUAAGCAGGGUCAGGCCUGGUUAAUACUUGGAUGGGAGACCAUCUAGGAAUACCAGGUGCUAUAGGCA